AUAUCAAUAAGCGGAGGAAAAGAAACUAACAAGGAUUCCCCUAGUAACGGCGAGUGAAGCGGGAAUAGCUCAAAUUUGAAAUCUUACAGGUUCCCUGUACGAAUUGUAGUUUAAAGAAGUGUUUUCGGAGGCAAGCUAGGUCUAAGUUUUUUGGAACAUUACAUCACAGAGGGUGAGAAUCCCGUAUGUGAUCUAGACUUUGCUUCUAUGUGAUGCACUUUCCAAGAGUCGGGUUGUUUGGGAAUGCAGCCCAAAAUGGGUGGUAAAUAUCAUCUAAAGCUAAAUAUUGGCGAGAGACCGAUAGCGCACAAGUA
rnacentral:rRNA from 1 species